AUCUUCACUCCAACGCCACCAAACAAGAAAGCCCAACCCUCGUUGACCCACGACCUUAUAGCCCAGCCCACUCCCACCCCACCGUUCCCAAUCCCAUCGUUUAGAGCCUUAUAGCGCGAAGAGAGUGGGGGCGUUCAAAGUCGUGUGAGAGCGCGAAGAGAGUGGGUGUGUUCGGACUCGCUUCGAAGUUGUGUGAGAGCGCGUAGAGAGAAAAGCGAGAGCGAGAGCGAGACAGAGUAGAGAAAAGAUGGAGAUGAAAUGUCCUGUUACUGGAAAUAUCAUUCGGAAGUCUGUGUUCUCGAAAUCAGGAUCGGAAUCAAAAUAUUUGACAGAAUUUGAAGACCUAGGAUUCAUAGCAAAAUUCGGUUUCGGCAUAGUUAAGAAAUGCCGAAACCGCCUUGAUGACUGCAUCUACGCCGUGAAGAUUGUUUCACUGAAGUCUGCAAAUAUUCCCUUUGAGAAAGUCCUGAGGGAGGUAAAGGCUCUGCAUCGCUUGCGCCAUCCAAAUGUUGUGCGCUAUCACCAGGCAUGGCUUGAGGAGAAUUUUUCUGGUGUUUCUUACUGUUCAAGUGAUGAAAGCUUAACUGAAGAUUCACCUCUGUAUAUCGAUUUCGAUUCCCCAUGCAUGUUUAUUCAAAUGGAGUUCUGUCCUAGGUCCUUAGAGAAGUUUCUGAAAACUUCAGGCAAUUUGGAUGGACAGAAAAUAUGGAAGCUUUUUUGCCAAAUCAUGGAAGGCCUGGCUAAAGUCCAUGCGGCUGGUGUUGCACACCCUGAUCUAUCUUUAGCUAAUAUUUUAUUAGAUGCAGAGGAUAAUAUACGCAUAUCUGAUUUUGGCUUGGCUGAACUAUAUAACCGCCAAACGAAAGUUGACACCAAGGAUGAUAUGUUCGGCCUUGGUCUCAUUUUUUCUAUACUUCGUAAACAUUUGCCCACAGAGCAUGAGGCGUCUGAGCUUUUACGAAAUCUGAAGGAGAAAAAAGAUUUUCCAGAAAGCUGGAUCUAUGACGAACAUGAGCAGUUAAAGAAAAAAGUAUUAUCUCAGUUUGCUGCUGGGAACUCAUUAAUGCAGCAGCAACCGCAACAGUUUUCUUCUAGUUCAGUAACAAGGAGCCGAGCAAGAUUCUCUUGACCUUGAUAAACAAGAAGUACAAACUCUUGGUGACAGUGAGGGUAAAGAGCCUGAUGUGAAGAAAAUGAGGUUAUAGUGUUAUACCAAGUGUAAAUAGCAAGGGAGACUUCUUCGCUCAAGAUCCUCCUAUUCCUUGACUGUAUAUGACAAUGCAAUGGUGUAUAUAUUAAAUAGAAUAACUCCAUAUUGAGGAGAAAAAAUUAAGUGAAUAUACUUGUAUGCAAGGAUUGUAGGCUUGUAGCCCAACAAUAUCCUCUACCCCUCCCGAAGUAGUUAAUUGAAUGUUCUUAUGGGAACAAAAUAAAAUUUGAAAAGAAAAA